rnacentral:rRNA from 1 species
AUACGGAGGAUCCGAGCGUUAUCCGGAUUUAUUGGGUUUAAAGGGUGCGCAGGCGGCCAUUUAAGUCAGCGGUUAAAUCGUGGGGCUCAACCCCAUUCUGCCGUUGAUACUGGGUGGCUUGAUUGCGGUCGAGGUUGGCGGAAUUCGUUGUGUAGCGGUGAAAUGCAUAGAUAUGACGAAGAACACCGAUUGCGUAGGCAGCUGACCAGACCGCAAAUGACGCUCAUGCACGAAAGUGCGGGGAUCGAACAGGAUUAGAUACCCUGGUAGUCCGCACAGUAAACGAUGAAUACUUGUUUUCGGCGAUAUAAUGUCGGAGGCAAAGCGAAAGCGAUAAGUAUUCCACCUGGGGAGUACGCCGGCAACGGUGAAACUCAAAUGAUUGACGGGG